UCGAACGGCAGCAUAGAGAGCUUGCUCUCUGAUGGCGAGUGGCGAACGGGUGAGUAAUAUAUCGGAACGUGCCCAGUAAUGGGGAAUAACUAACUGAAAGGUUAGCUAAUACCGCAUACGACCUACGGGUGAAAGCAGGGGAUCUUAGGACCUUGCGUUAUUGGAGCGGCCGAUAUCUGAUUAGCUUGUUGGUGGGGUAAAAGCCUACCAAGGCUACGAUCAGUAGCUGGUCUGAGAGGACGAUCAGCCACACUGGAACUGAGACACGGUCCAGACUCCUACGGGAGGCAGCAGUGGGGAAUUUUGGACAAUGGGGGAAACCCUGAUCCAGCCAUCCCGCGUGAGUGAAGAAGGCCUUCGGGUUGUAAAGCUCUUUCGAAAGUGAAGAAAACUUAUUUCGUAAUAUGUUAUAAGUAUGACGGUAACUUUAGAAGAAGCACCGGCUAACUACGUGCCAGCAGCCGCGGUAAUACGUAGGGUGCGAGCGUUAAUCGGAAUUACUGGGCGUAAAGCGUGCGCAGGCGGUUUUGUAAGUCAGAUGUGAAAUCCCCGAGCUUAACUUGGGAACUGCGUUUGAAACUACAAGACUAGAGUGUGUCAGAGGGGGGUAGAAUUCCACGUGUAGCAGUGAAAUGCGUAGAGAUGUGGAGGAAUACCAAUGGCGAAGGCAGCCCCCUGGGAUAACACUGACGCUCAUGCACGAAAGCGUGGGGAGCGAACAGGAUUAGAUACCCUGGUAGA
rnacentral:rRNA from 1 species